UUAAAUUUAAUUUAAUACUUAUCUUAAUAGUAUUUUAUUAAUUUAAUAUUAAAGUUGUAAUAGGCCCAAUUUUCCCGACCUGUUAGUGAAAUAAACAAAAUAAAAAAAGAAAACCAAAAUUUUAAAUAGGCCACAGUCCAAAUUACAAUGGGCUCAAGCGGCCCGAACACAAAAUACCCAAAAUGACACCUAAACUACAUUUAGCCCAACUAUCAUGGCCCAACGCAGCCGAACACAACCAGAAACCCUAGCAGCAAUGGUGAGCCUCUAGCGCCGCAGCCACCAGGGUUCUCC
rnacentral:lncRNA from 1 species